UACAGAGGGUGCAAGCGUUAAUCGGAAUUACUGGGCGUAAAGCGCGCGUAGGCGGCUUGACAAGUCGAGUGUGAAAUCCCCGGGCUUAACCUGGGACCUGCAUUCGAAACUGUCUUGCUAGAGUAUGGGAGAGGGAAGCGGAAUUUCAGGUGUAGUGGUGAAAUGCGUAGAUAUCUGAAGGAACACCAGUGGCGAAGGCGGCUUUCUGGCCUAUUCUUGACGCUGAGGCGCGAAAGCUAGGGGAGCGAACGGG
rnacentral:rRNA from 1 species